GUGCUCACUUUGGCAGCACAUAUANCAAAACUGUCUCAAUAAGGAGAAGAUUAGCAUGGCCUCAGUGCAAGGAUGACACACAAAUUCAUGAAGUGUUUCAUAGAAGG
rnacentral:snRNA from 1 species